GCACAUCUUGGGACACACCAGCUGUCCAAGUUCAGCAUAAUGAGCCAAAUGUCCUCCCAGCAGCCCUCCUCGGGGAAAGCUGUCAGCCCCAGAACUUUAGAACUCCAAAUUCCUCCUGGAAACUUCCUUCCCAGCGGUCAGGACAAGCAGAGAAAUUUCGGAGCCAUCUGCCCACUCCACUCCUAGUUGACAUCCACAAAGCCAGACUUGAGUGGUAAUGAUAUCUCACCACCGCAUUUUUUACUCAGGAAAGGCCACCGUUCAUUCCGCCGGGAGCGUGUGCCUUUGCACCAUCACGACCUCUGUCUCUCCCCUUGGCCAGAGCCCACCCUGGGGGCAGAAACCCGCUCUGAAAAGCCUGGAAGUCCGGCACAUGAUGGGCAGACCUCUGAGCUCCUGGAAUCAAGAUAUUUGGAAAACCAUCAAAAGCAGCGGUCAGAGACACCCCACCCUGUGGAGUGAAC
rnacentral:lncRNA from 1 species